rnacentral:rRNA from 1 species
UACAGAGGUCUCAAGCGUUGUUCGGAUUCAUUGGGCGUAAAGGGUGCGUAGGCGGCGCGGUAAGUCGGGUGUGAAAUCUCGGAGCUUAACUCCGAAACUGCAUUCGAUACUGCCGUGCUUGAGGACUGGAGAGGAGACUGGAAUUUACGGUGUAGCGGUGAAAUGCGUAGAUAUCGUAAGGAAGACCAGUGGCGAAGGCGGGUCUCUGGGCAUUACCUGACGCUGAGGAGCGAAAGUGUGGGGAGCGAGCAGG